AUAAAGUCUAGCCUGCCCACUGAAUUUUGUUUGAAGGGCCGCAGUAUUUUGACUGUGCAAAGGUAGCAUAAUCAUUAGUCUUUUAAUUGAAGGCUGGUAUGAAUGGUUGGACGAGAUACAAUCUGUGUCAUAAUAAUUAAAAUUUGAAUUUAUCUUUUUAGUUAAAAGACUAAAAUAAAAUUAAAAGACGAGAAGACCCUAUAGAGCUUUAUAUAAUUAAUAUUUAAAUUAUUAAGAUUUUUUAAAUUAAAAUAUUAUUUUAUAUUUUGUUGGGGUGACAAUAAAAUUAAUAGAACUUUUAUUUUUAUUAAACAUUAAUUUAUGGUUAAAUGAUCCAGUUUUAUUGAUUAUAAAUUUAAGUUACCUUAGGGAUAACAGCGUAAUUUUUUUUGAGAGUUCUUAUCGACAAAAAAGAUUGCGACCUCGAUGUUGGAUUAAGAGUAAUUUUGGGUGUAGAAGUUCAAAGU
rnacentral:rRNA from 1 species